rnacentral:ncRNA from 2 species
UGACCCCGCGCGGGAGAGUCCCCCAGGGACCCGGACAGGCAUGGACCUGGAAGGGGCCCGACGGGGCGCCGAAGGAGCAAAUCCUCCCCGGAAUCUCUCAGGCACACGUACCGCGCGGACGAG